UCUGGACCGUUAAUGGGCCUGGCAGCGCAAAGGGAGAUGGAGCUUUCUUCAGAAAGGUUGAAAACAUCACCACGACCACAAGAGGAGGAGAGUUUUUUAGAAGACACAGUUGCCUUCUGAGGUGAGAUGUGGAGACUGCCCUCUACACAGCUCAGAGUUUGCCUGGUGCUUCAGUUGGGAAGCCACGAUGAAGAUCUAGCCUGGGAAACCCUGAGUGCUCCAGACCCAGCAGCAGCCUCCAGCCUUCUGCUGAGUGAAUGUUGCCUCGGGGAGCACAUCCCUCAGUCAGAGUGGCUUCCUGGGAAACCAGGGAACUCAGCUCGCCAUAGGAAGAUGUUCCUUCUGUCCACACCAUCUGCAGCUUACCCACCUCUGACCUUCCUGGGUGAUCUGCCUUCUUAGAAAGAAGCAGGCCACCGCCCUGAUGACCUAUGAACACGAAGAUAUUGUUUCUUAGACAAGGUUUCUAUGUUUGGCCUGGGAUGGGCUUAUGCUUGUAGGAAUCCUCCUGUCUCAGUUUUCUCAAUUCUGAGAUUAUAGUUGUGCACCAUUACCCUUCAUAGGACCCAGGCUUUUGGUAUCUAACACGAACUCUGUCACUGCUGUAAGGCCAGUCUGGACUGGCUUCUUCCCUCUGUCCACUUUGGAUGUCUGUUAUCCAUCCAUGUCCCGGAAGAGUUCUCAGGAAACAUAGUCCUGGCUCUCUCAUGAUGGAAAGGAAUGAAUGGGGAAAGAGAAGAGCUCUCAGACGAAAUGGACACAAGAAGGAGAGUGCUACGGGCUGUCAUUUCCUGGAAACUUUCAAGCUAUGCUUCCCUGUGUAAGCCUUAGCGAGGUGGGGCCAGUAGCAUCCUUUCCUCCCAGAGGACCAUACAACUCUUAACUUUGCAUCCUGUGAACUACUGAGUCUCUGUUUUACCCAACAUGCCACCAUGUGUCCUGUUACCGUCCAUAGUUUCAGCUAUGCCAGAGUAUCUUAUGGAUAGAGUCCUAUAAUCCUUUCCAGGCUGACUUCUUCUCUUGAUAGCAUGGAUUACAUCUCCUCAACUGCUCCUUUAGGCUGGAAUGUUCAUUGGUUUUUAUUUAGGACCAGGUGGUGCUCAACUGCAAUAACAAAUAAAGUUGCUAUUUCAACACUGUAA